UGUGGUUGGUGCAUCACAACCCUCAUGUGGAUUGGUCAGGGAACUGUUUUAUCGUGGAGUCAGUCCUGUCUUGCUUCGUGUUUAGGUGCUGCCUCGUCUCCUGUCUCCUUGUCUUCCGUGUUUCAGAUGGAGGCUGCUGAUCUCUCCGGAGUCCCAGCGGAGUACCAUGAUCUUUGCAGAGUCUUCAGUAAGUCCCGGGGAAUGUCCUUGCCUCCCCACCGGCCGUGUGACUGUGCCAUCAAUCUCCUCCCAGGCACUUCUCCGCCCAAAGGGCGUUUGUACUCCCUGUCUGGUCCUGAAAGAGAGGCCAUGGACAAGUAUAUUAAGGAAUCCUUCAAUGCCAGCCUCAUCCGUCCCUCUUCCUCACCUGCUGGCGCUGGGUUCUUUGUUAAGAAGGAUGGCUCCCUGCAUCUUUGCAUUAAUUCUCAAUGACAUCACCUUUAGAAACGGGUAUCCUCUGACUCGGUCACCUGCUUUUGAAUUGUUACAGGGGGGCAAGGCAAUGCCUACCAUUUGGUCCAUAUCCAUGAGGGGGAUGAGUGGAAGACAACCGGGACUUCGGCCUGAUCAGCAGACUUCUGUUCCCUAGUUCCUUCCCUGAUAUUACCAGAAUACCCGGCGUGCUCUACAAGGAACUCUCUGCUCUGAUGUUCCGUCAGUACUGACGCUUGGACUCUGUGAGCUGUUCUCUCUACUCUGACGUUGCAUUGGCACUGAUGCUGGGAUAGUGUGUGCUGGUCUUCAUUAUCUACUCUGCUUAGUGGAGGGGCUGUAGGCUCAUGUUGACUGUUCCCCUCAUCCUUCCUCUAAUCUCUGCUCGAGCUGAGUGGUGUUUGAGAUUUAAAUAAAUUUGAGUUGAACCUGCAAAUUGAAUCAUGUGUUUCCCUGACAUUAAACUGAAGAAAUAAAUAGGGGUAUAAUAUCCUCCUGAUUCACAAAAAGUGCUAGAUUUCACAGGGAC
ensembl:lncRNA